rnacentral:rRNA from 1 species
UGCAUCGAUGAAGAACGCAGCGAAAUGCGAUACGUAGUGUGAAUUGCAGAAUUCCGCGAAUCAUCGAGUCUUUGAACGCAAGUUGCGCCCGAGGCUUGUCCGAGGGCAUUUCCGCUAGAGCGUCACCGCGCCCCCCACCGAUCCGCUCCCGCCGCGAGGCGCCAGUCGGGUCGAGUGCAAGUGGCCGUCCCGGCGAAGUGGCCUUCUUUCACGAGGAGGCCGUCCUUGGAAGGGUCGGCUGAAAUGGAUGGAAUCGGGCCGCCGUGGUGUGACACAGUCCGCGAUCGGGUGAUUUUGUCGCGAGCCUCCUGCGCUGCGGGAGGCUCUUGGUGAAUUUUUCUAAGUGCUUGGCUGCGUCCCCCAGUUGGCUCGGGUUACCUCAUGCAGGUCGAGCGCGCCCCCGCGGCGCGCGUCACGCAUCAGACCUCUAAUCGGAAAAGACUACCCGCUGAGUUUAAGCAUAUCAAUAAGCGGAGGA